UACGUAGGUGGCAAGCGUUGUCCGGAUUUACUGGGCGUAAAGAGCGCGCAGGCGGUCAGAUAAGUCGAAUGUGAAAGCCCCCCGGCUCAACUGGGGAGGGUCAUUCGAUACUGUUCGACUCGAAGGCAGGAGAGGGAAGUGGAAUUCCCGGUGUAGUGGUGAAAUGCGUAGAUAUCGGGAGGAACACCAGUGGCGAAGGCGACUACCUGGCCUGUUCUUGACGCUGAGGCGCGAAAGCUAGGGGAGCAAACGGGG
rnacentral:rRNA from 1 species